rnacentral:ncRNA from 2 species
CGAUCCAGCGCGGGUCAAGGUUCUUCGGCCGGGGCGUGCCCUGCGUCGAAGCUAAGACGGGAAGCCGGUGAAAUACCGGCGCUGCCCCCGCAACUGUAAGCGGUGAGCUGUGGUCCACGAUGUCACUGAGGCUUGCCUUGGGAAGACGGACCGUCAGCUGUGACCCGCGAGCCAGGAGACCUGCCUUCGACGCGAUAACGUC